UAUUUGCCAGCACGUAAUGGUGGGAACUCUAAGGAGACUGCCGGUGAUAAACCGGAGGAAGGUAGGGACGACGUCAAGUCAUCAUGGCCCUUAUGACCAGGGCUACACACGUGCUACAAUGGUCGGUACAAUGGGUUGCCAAACCGCGAGGUGGAGCUAAUCCCACAAAACCGAUCCCAGUCCGGAUUGUAGUCUGCAACUCGACUACAUGAAGUCGGAAUCGCUAGUAAUCGUGGAUCAGAAUGCCACGGUGAAUACGUUCCCGGGUCUUGUACACACCGCCCGUCACACCAUGGAAGUUGAUUGCUCCAGAAGUAGGUAGCUUAAAAAUGGGCGCUUACCACGGAGUGGUCGAUGACUGGGGUGAAGUCGUAACAAGGUAGCCGUAGGGGAACCUGCGGCUGGAUCACCUCCUUUAAAGAGCAGAA
rnacentral:rRNA from 1 species